rnacentral:siRNA from 1 species
AGCAUGGAGCGCUAUGUGUGGUA